rnacentral:rRNA from 1 species
GUUUAAUUAUAAUUUUAAAUUUGAAUUUAAAUUAGGCUUAAAAAAAAUAUUUUUAAUAAGAAAAAUUUUUAGUAAAUUAAUUUGAAAUAAAAAUUUUUAUAUUUGAAAAAAAAAUAAAUAAAAAUGUAUAAAAAAAAUUUAUUUUUUGUUCCUUUUGUAUAAGGAUUAAUUUAAUAUAAUUUAAUUAAAUUUAAUUUUCUCGAAAUAAAAUGAAAUAAUAUUUUAUUUUUUUUAAUGUUCAUAAUUAAUAAAAAUAAAAUUUUUGAAAUUAUAUGUUUUCAAAUUUUUAUAUCUAGUUUUUUAAUAAUUAAAUUAAAUUUAAAAUUAAUUGAUUUAUAAUUUUAUAAUAAAUUUAUAAAUAUUUUUAAUUAAAAAGUAAAAGAGAUAAAUUUUUUAUUUAUAUUAAAAUUUAAUAUUUUUAUAUUUAUUUUAUUUAAUUUAUAUUAUUUAUAAUUAAAAAAUUUAAAAUUUUAUUUUUUUAAAAAUUUAAAUUUAUUUAAGAAAAAAUUUAAAUUUUAUAUUAAAAUUUUUUAUUUAAUUUUUUUAAAAAAUUAAUUAUGAUUAAAUUAGUAUUAAUAUAAAAUUUUUAAAAAUUUUUUAAGUUAAAUUAUAAUUAAAUAAUUUGGCAAUAAAAGUUUUCACUUGUUUAUCAAAAACAUGUCUUAAUGAAAAUAAUUUUAGGUUUAAUCUGUUCAAUGAUAAUUAUAUUAAAUAAUUGCAGUAUCCUGACUGUGCAAAGGUAGCAAAAUCAUUUGUUUUUUAAUUGAAAACUGGAAUGAAAGAUUGAAUGAAAAAUAAACUUUUUUAGUUAUAAUUUAAGAAUUUUUUUUUAAAAUAAAAAAUUUUUAUUAUAUUUAAAAGACGAUAAGACCCUAUAAAAUUUAAUAUUUAAUUUUAAUAUUUUAUUUAUUAAAAUUAAAUAUUUAAUUGGGGUGAUUGAAAAAUUUAAUAAACUUUUUUUAUUAAUUAAAAAUAAUUUUUUUUUAAUAAAUAAUUUUAAUUAUUUAUAAAUAAAAUUACUUUAGGGAUAACAGCAUAAUAUUAUUAAAUAGUUCAUAUUGAUAAUAAUGAUUAUGACCUCGAUGUUGAAUUAAAUAAAUAAUUUUUUUUAAUAAAUUAAUUUAUUUUAUUAAAAAAUUAGAAAAAAAAAUAUUUAUUUAGUCUGUUCGACUAUUAAAUUUUUACAUGAUUUGAGUUCAAAUCGGCGUGAGCCAGAUUGGUUUCUAUCUUUAAAUUUAUUUAAUAAAUUUUUGUACGAAAGGAUUAAUUUAUAAAAUUAUUUUA